UCCAGCCCGUCCACAUCUGCUUUUCCCAACACGCUAAAGAUAUUUGCCGUUUUGGUUAUUAACCCAGUAUUUCCCUUAUCCGUAGAAGCGCUCCUUUGAUUGAUCCCUUUGAGAAAUUCCCCUUUUUGAAAUGUUAUCCCCGAAACAUCUGCUUCUUUUUCCCUAAUCUCAGCCUUUUCAAUCCCAAACAGAUUCAGAGCGUUAUUCAUGGCAAUUUUCGUUUCAGUAUUAAUGCGAGCCCUAGAAUUACGCCGUGACUUCCUCUCAACGAUCAUCCAGGGACCAAACCGCUCCAAUGGCUCCACCGCUUUGACCACCUCCAGUAAGCUUUCCAUCGCUGUGUUCAUUCCAUCGUCAGCAUUUUGUGAAUACCCCAUUUCUACGCACGUGGCCUUUGAAUGACCGAAUCUUCCACAAGGGAAACACACGAAUGGCAACGCUUCAAACUGAACCCUCUGCACCGCCCUGUUAAUCAAGAUCUGAGAUACCAAAGGCUUUAUCAAAUCAAUGCACACGACCGUUCUUUCAAAAUUUCCCCUCGACCCUUUGUCCGUUUGAAAAUCGAGCUUGGUGACCGUCCCAAUCAGACCUCUGAUUUCUUCUAAUAUUUGGCGCUUAUAGAGGAACCCCGAGAGACCCGGUAAUCUGACCCAAACCAUGGUGCUACUAGGAAAUGCUUGGAGAGGAUUAAACUCUGGAGUCCACGGUUGAACCGUGGGAUAUUGGCCAAGGACAAUCCAUGGACCCUGGGCUUCUAGAGACUGUGGAUCCUAUUAUGCAAAAUAGAGUAAGAAAUUUUCCGGCCAAGUAAUUUAACAACCACCGUGGUCGCCAUAUUUCGGAAGAGAAUUCGUUGGAUCCUCUCGGAAAAGUUGAUAGCGGAAACACCAUUAACCGUAGUUCUCACCACAUUUCCAUCUAGAAAUUCAAAAUCCUCGUCUCUACCAGAGUCAGGAGCCCCUCGACCCAGAACUUUGUCCCUCCAAGAGAUUUCCAGCGUCGGAGUAGAGUCCACAACCAUAUCAUUUUCCACACCAGAAUCCAAGUCCUUAAAAUGAACUUUUUUGGUAUUCCGAUCUCCGAUCAAGUCUUCCCUUUCUCCGUUCUCAGACAUUUUUAUGCAUAAUUGUUUUUAUCCAUAUUUUAUUUUACAUUUUUCACAUGAAUUAAUCUAUAUGAAUUAUCAUAUUAAAUUAAUUAAUUUAUCACAUAUAUUAAAUUCAAGUAAUCAAGUUAUAAAUUGAUGGUGUAUCAAAUUCAUAGUAAA